GUAACGCUGGCGGCGUGCUUAACACAUGCAAGUCGAGCGAGAAAUUUUAAAUUAAUUCUUCGGAUGAUUUUUAAAAUGGAAAGCGGCGGACGGGUGAGUAACGCGUAGGCAACCUGCAUCAUACAAAGGGAUAGCAUCUGGAAACGGAUAUUAAUACCUUAUGACACCUUAGGUUCACAUGAACUCUAGGUCAAAGAUUUAUCGGUAUGAGAUGGGCCUGCGUCUGAUUAGCUAGUUGGUAGGGUAACGGCCUACCAAGGCGACGAUCAGUAGCCGACCUGAGAGGGUGAUCGGCCACACUGGAACUGAGACACGGUCCAGACUCCUACGGGAGGCAGCAGUGGGGAAUAUUGCACAAUGGGCGCAAGCCUGAUGCAGCAACGCCGCGUGAGUGAUGAAGGCCUUAGGGUCGUAAAACUCUGUCCUAAGGGAAGAAUAAAUGACGGUACCUUAGGAGGAAGCCCCGGCUAACUACGUGCCAGCAGCCGCGGUAAUACGUAGGGGGCAAGCGUUAUCCGGAAUUAUUGGGCGUAAAGAGUACGUAGGUGGUUUUACAAGCCUUGGGUUAAAGGCUAUGGCUCAACCAUAGUAAGCCUAAGGAACUGUAAGACUUGAGUGCAGGAGAGGUAAGUGGAAUUCCUAGUGUAGCGGUGAAAUGCGUAGAUAUUAGGAGGAACACCAGUGGCGAAGGCGACUUACUGGACUGUUACUGACACUGAGGUACGAAAGCGUGGGGAGCAAACAGGAUUAGAUACCCUGGUAGUCCACGCCGUAAACGAUGAGCA
rnacentral:rRNA from 1 species